ACAACUCCCAAACCCCUGUGAACAUACCAAUUGUUGCCUCGGCGGAUCAGCCCGCUCCCGGUAAAACGGGACGGCCCGCCAGAGGACCCCUAAACUCUGUUUCUAUAUGUAACUUCUGAGUAAAACCAUAAAUAAAUCAAAACUUUCAACAACGGAUCUCUUGGUUCUGGCAUCGAUGAAGAACGCAGCAAAAUGCGAUAAGUAAUGUGAAUUGCAGAAUUCAGUGAAUCAUCGAAUCUUUGAACGCACAUUGCGCCCGCCAGUAUUCUGGCGGGCAUGCCUGUUCGAGCGUCAUUUCAACCCUCAAGCCCCCGGGUUUGGUGUUGGGGAUCGGCGAGCCUCACGGCAAGCCGGCCCCGAAAUACAGUGGCGGUCUCGCUGCAGCUUCCAUUGCGUAGUAGUAAAACCCUCGCAACUGGUACGCGGCGCGGCCAAGCCGUUAAACCCCCAACUUCUGAAUGUUGACCUCGGAUCAGGUAGGAAUACCCGCUGAACUUAAGCAUAUCAAUAAGCGGAGGAAAAGAAACCAACAGGGAUUGCCCUAGUAACGGCGAGUGAAGCGGCAACAGCUCAAAUUUGAAAUCUGGCUCUCGGGCCCGAGUUGUAAUUUGUAGAGGAUACUUUUGAUGCGGUGCCUUCCGAGUUCCCUGGAACGGGACGCCAUAGAGGGUGAGAGCCCCGUCUGGUUGGAUGCCAAAUCUCUGUAAAGUUCCUUCGACGAGUCGAGUAGUUUGGGAAUGCUGCUCUAAAUGGGAGGUAUAUGUCUUCUAAAGCUAAAUACCGGCCAGAGACCGAUAGCGCACAAGUAGAGUGAUCGAAAGAUGAAAAGCACUUUGAAAAGAGAGUUAAAAAGUACGUGAAAUUGUUGAAAGGGAAGCGUUUAUGACCAGACUUGGGCUUGGUUAAUCAUCUGGGGUUCUCCCCAGUGCACUUUUCCAGUCCAGGCCAGCAUCAGUUUUCGCCGGGGGAUAAAGACUUCGGGAAUGUGGCUCUCUCCGGGGAGUGUUA
rnacentral:rRNA from 1 species